rnacentral:rRNA from 1 species
UAAUACGGAGGGAGCGAGCGUUGUCCGAAGUUACUGGGCGUAAAGCGCGCGUAGGCGGGAAAUUAAGUGAGAAGUGAAAGGCUGGGGCUUAACCCCAUGCAGUGCUCCUCAUACUGGUUUUCUUGAGGGUGGUAGAGAGAAGUGGAAUGGCUGGUGUAGCGGUGAAAUGCGUAGAUAUCAGUCGGAACACCAGUGGCGAAGGCGGCUUCUUGGGCCAUUACUGACGCUGAGGCGCGAAAGCCAGGGGAGCGAACGGGAUUAGAUACCCCGGUAGUCCUGGCCGUAAACGAUGGAUACUAGGUGUCGGGGGUAUCGACCCCUCCGGUGCCGCAGCUAACGCACUAAGUAUCCCGCCUGGGGAGUACGGCCGCAAGGUUG